rnacentral:lncRNA from 1 species
UUCUCCACGCACACACAUAUAUAUUACUAGAACCACAGUAGUUUUGGGGUAUCGUCUCCUGUGAUCUCAAUAUCACAAAAUCAGAUUAAAAAAAUGUAGUAGACAAACCUGUAAGGGGCUAUUUCCAUAAAUCAUGAAUUUGCAUAGAAGUCAUUAAACAUUGUCUCUUUCCACUACAAUCAAGCUAGGUAAAGAUCAGUUCCUCGUACAGCUAAAAAGUUUAUACUGGUCUAAGCAUCAUUUUCAACAAGCUAUGCAAGUGUUACUGUACCCAUGGAACUAAAUAUGGGAACCAAGCUUUGAAGAAACAAAUAAGUUCCAUAGUAAAUUGUUUAUUCAUUUUCCUUGCGAUAUCAGCUUUUGAUGAGUCCAGAUGCUUUAUUUGCAUUACUGUUGGCCUGAGGCGUAUUUAGAAAUUAGAAUGUUGCAAUCACAUAUUCUGCAUCAGAGUAAAUGUCCCAUGUUGGAAAUAUAUAUAUAGUCAUUGGAAAAGGUAUGAGUUGAAUAAGGUGCUACACAAUGUCCAGUUCAUGUAUUUAAUUUUACUACUAUUUUACUUGUUUUACUAUGAUGAAAAUAGGUGUGGACUUUGUUUUUAUUUACAGGAUAAGAGUUUGUCAACUGGAAUCUUUUUCCUGGAACUACUAAGUUCUGUUCAUCCUCGAGCUGUUAACUGGAGUCUUGUAACAAAAGGGGAAACUGGUAAUUUUCUUUUAGACUUGAACAGGUUCCUGCUUCCAGUAAUUCAAGUCAAUAUACUUGCUUGGUGGUGCACAAAAUAAAUUGGUUCCUGAUAUUUUCACGCAUAAUAUUUAUAGUUUGGCAUCACGAUAACAAUUUAUCAUCAAAUGGAUAACAACAUCAACAUACCCAGUGGAAUCCACAAUUGGGGUCUGUGGAGGGUAAAGUAUACGCAGGCCUUACCAUUACCUCGUAGAGGUAGAGAUACCGUUUUCAAAAGACCCUCGGCUCAAGUGUAGCAAAUCCAAGUAUAGAGAGUAAGAAAACAGCGAGAAAAAUGGAAGCAGUGCAAAUCCUGCAAGAAAAGGACAAGAAAAACAAAUAGUGUGACAAUCAAAACUAACUAAACAACCAACUACAAUACUACAACUAGUAUGGCGACAAACACCUAAACCCUCGUAAAGCAAGACAAUACUCCAUUGCCUACUAACUUCGACCCUAAAAUAUGCUCUGCACACCCUACUAUCUAAAGUCAUGUCCUCGGUGACCUAGAGUUGAGUCAUAUCUUGUCUAAUCAACUCUCCCUAAGACUUCUUUGGUCUACCUUUACCUCUCCUCUUAUCCAUUGUAACCAACCACUCGCACCUCCUCACUAGGGCGUCUCCACAUCUCCUCUUCACAUGUCCAAACCAUCUCAAUCUCGCUUUACUCACCUUGUCCACCGCAGAGGCCACUCCCACCAUAUCCCGAAUAUGCUCAUUUUUAAUCUUAUCGCUCCUUGUAUGCCCACACAUCCACCUCAACAUCCCUAUUUCCACGACAUGUAUCUUUUGAACAUGGGGGUUCUUGAUUGAAACACUCCACCCCAUACAAUAAAGUCGGUCUAACCACCACUUUAUGAAACUUAUCUUUAAGUUUCGAUCGUACUUUUUUAUCACAUAGACUUCAGAUGCAAGCCUCCAUUUCAUGCAGGCUGCCCCAAUAUGGUAUGUGAUAUCCUCAUCAAUAUCCCCACUUUCUUGGAUUAUGGACCCUAGGUACUUGAAACUAUCUUUCUUGGGGGAUAGAGUGUCAAUCCUCACUUCCACACUUGCCUCUUGCAUUGAAUCACCAAAUUUGCACCCCAAAUACUCUGUUUUGGUCCUGCUUAACCUGAACCAAAGUCUCUAAAUAUUAUCUAAUGUAGUUCGAUGUAAAUGUUGAGGGAUGUCCGACUGAAUUAUAUGGUGAUUUUUGAAAUAAUUAUCAGAUCUCCUUUCACUUUUGCUUAACACACUACAUAUCAAGUGUAGCUUUUUUCCGAACAAUAACUUCAGAAAUAUCUUAGUUAAAUGACUGGAAUACUUUUUCCUAAGUCACAGAGGUGCCGAGGUUUAAAAACAUCACAUUCCCAAUAGCCUAUCCUUUAUGAACUGAACCCUAAGUAUAACAGCUAUAUGUCUGUUGAUGAAUAUAGCACAACCUUUUGUCUGCUUUUGCCUUACUAUAGAAUCUGUUUUGUGGCUCUAAAACAGACUGAACAGUUAAAGUAACUGAAUCUUAUCUUUCAAUCAAUUUCUUUGCAUUUGGACUGCUGAAUGUUAUAGUUUCCUUCCUCUUCUCCUACUGUGAGGGGGCUAAGAUCACACCUCUGAGAAACUUCGUAACCUGUACCUUUUGGUGCUUGUUUGUUUUCACAGUUCAUGUAGUAUGUAUGCUUGAGGAUGACUCUCUGAUUCAUUUAAAAUUUUGAAUGAUGCAGAGGAACAGAAGAAGAUGAAUGCAACCUACAUAAUCAGUAUUGCCAGGAAGCUUGGAUGUUCAAUAUUUUUGCUGCCUGAAGAUAUAAUUGAGGUAACUGUUCAUUUUUAUGCAGUUGUCUUUUGGUUAUUUUUCUUUUACUUCUGUUAAUUGCCGCUAAGACAUUCUAAUAAUUGAUGCAUCCUCCUAAACAGAGGUUUCAUAUCUAAUGAUGCCUGAUUAUUUACUUUUUGGAAAAAUAAUCCCCUCUUUUAGGUUUGGAAGCCCAUGGAUUUAGCCAAUGUAUUGGGCACAACUCACAAGUCUCCUCUAGUAUGCUGCAAAACUAAUAUAAUGGUGUGUUUAAUUAGGUAAACCAAAAGAUGAUCCUUACGCUGACAGCAAGUAUAAUGUAUUGGCACUUGAAACAACCGACAGAGGACCAAAGUCUUGCAUCUUCAGAUUGUGAUAGUAGCUCUGUGGACACAGCCUCAACCUCAACGUUGGACGAUACAGCUUCUGAGUCUUCAGCG